UACGGGGGGAGCAAGCGUUGUUCGGAUUUACUGGGCGUAAAGGGCGCGUAGGCGGUCGUGACAAGUCACUUGUGAAAUCUCCGGGCUUAACUCGGAACGGCCAAGUGAUACUGUCGUGCUAGAGUGCAGAAGGGGCAAUCGGAAUUCUUGGUGUAGCGGUGAAAUGCGUAGAUAUCAAGAGGAACACCUGAGGUGAAGACGGGUUGCUGGGCUGACACUGACGCUGAAGCGCGAAAGCUAGGGGAGCAAACGGG
rnacentral:rRNA from 1 species